CGGUUGAUCCUGCCGGACCCUACCACUAUCGGGGUGGGACUAAGACAUGCUAGCUGAGCGCCUCCGAAGUACUGAUAUGCUAGAGACGCAGCGUACGGCUCAGUAACACGUGGCUAACCUACCCUUAGGACGGGGACAACCCCGGGAAACUGGGGCUAAUCCCCGAUAGGCAAGGAAUCCUGGAAUGGUUCCUUGCCGAAAAGACGUUGAAACCAUGCUUUCAACGUCGCCUAAGGAUGGGGCCGCGUCCGAUCAGGUUGUUGGUGAGGUAACGGCUCACCAAGCCUAUAACCGGUACGGGCCGUGAGAGCGGGAGCCCGGAGAUGGGCACUGAGACAAGGGCCCAGGCCCUACGGGGCGCAGCAGUCGCGAAAACUCCGCAAUGCGCGAAAGCGUGACGGGGCUACCCCGAGUGCCGUCCGCUGAGGACGGCUUUUCCCCGGUGUAAUGAGCCGGGGGAAUAAGGAGAGGGCAAGUCUGGUGUCAGCCGCCGCGGUAAUACCAGCUCUCCGAGUGGUAGGGAUGAUUAUUGGGCUUAAAGCGUCCGUAGCCGGCUUAGCAAGUCUCCCGUUAAAUUCAACGACCUAAUCGUUGAGCCGCGGGAGAUACUACUAGGCUAGGAGGCGGGAGAAGCCGACGGUAUUCUCGGGGUAGGGGUGAAAUCCUAUAAUCCCGGGAGGACCACCAGUGGCGAAGGCUGUCGGCUAGAACGCGCUCGACGGUGAGGGACGAAAGCUGGGGGAGCGAACCGGAUUAGAUACCCGGGUAGUCCCAGCUGUAAACGAUGCGGGCUAGGUGUUGGGGUGGCUACGAGCCACUUCAGUGCCGCAGGGAAGCCAUUAAGCCCGCCGCCUGGGGAGUACGGCCGCAAGGCUGAAACUUAAAGGAAUUGGCGGGGGAGCAC
rnacentral:rRNA from 1 species